GUUAGGGUGGCAGACUAUGGUGAUUGCAAAAGACCUAAGCCCUUUCCACAGAGGUUCAAAUCCUCUCCUUAACU
rnacentral:tRNA from 1 species